ensembl:lncRNA
UUUAAAAUGGCAGCUGAUGUCUAUGGGAACCCUGGAUGUUUAGGAGCUGGCUAAAGCUAGAGUUCUCAUACUCUUUGAUUAAGGGCACCACUUUCAGAUAACAACAUAGACCUGAAUGGCAUCAUCCAGUAUCCAAGGAAACCAUUGUUUUCAUAUUCUUUAUGAAAGUUACAAAAAGGAAGAAGAGAGAUAUGGAGGGAGAAAGGAAAGAAAAGAGGAAAGAAAAAUGGCCAUGGGAGGUGGAAUGUCAAUGAUGCUGAAGGUUUGAACCUGGAUGAUCUCAGAAAAGGGCUGCAAGUUUUCUGGCUCUGCCUUGAAGGUAGGAUUUGUUUCCUCCUUGGGAAAAAAUAACUCAUCAGAGAUAUGAAAAAUUCAGCUGAAUUUAUUUAUGGUGUAGAUAAAGAUCUUUUGCAUGCUUUCCAAUGAUGACGUUUUACAAAACUUACAGAGAGAAGAUCCUGGAGUAGCAGGUGUGUGUCGCAGCAGGAGCAGAGGGUAAUGAUGCCGGGAUGCCAUGCUAGGUAACAUGCACAACCGGUUUGUUUGAACAACAAGAACAUGUUAAAUUCAAGCCUUCCUAUGGAUUUGCUCUUUUCUCACUUCUGGUUGAAAUCCUAGAUGAAGAACCCUUUUGACAUCUCUGUCACCGCCAGCUCUGGAGUUUCCGCUUCCUUGUUGGGGUGGGAGGGAGCAGGGCACGGGCAGGUAUGCUAGUGAUCUGUUGUCUUGUUGUGUGUGUACAACUGACCAGUGGGACACUUUUGUGAGCUCCUUAGAGGUUCCCUCAGCAGAACCAUCCAGUCACCUCUCUUCUGCUUAAAUGCUUUAACUGUUCCUCAAUUUGGACAUCAGUUAGGACCCCUCAGCUUCCCUAUGCUAAGGUUACACCAUCCCUAGAAAAAAUCCUUUCAAAAGAACCCCUUAGCCAACUCCCAUCUAAGGGACCCACUUCUGGUCCACAGAAACAUGAAACUCUCUCCUAUUGUUGGGAGUACAGCUCCAAGUACAGCCACAUCUCUUUGCUCUGCCACCAAGCAGACAACUCCAGCUAUAUAAUCUUUUGCCUGACGUUUCUCAAGGGUGAACUAAGCACUUGUCCUCUUUGUCCUCCUAACUUUAAGGAACUAAGAUCAACCUCCCUGAGAGGUACUCUCAAAGCCUCUCUCCUAGGGGAGGGAGAUGGAAAAUUGCUGCAGCCUCCAACAACUUUCUCCAGAGAAAUUCUUUUGUCUCUUUCAGUUUCCUCAGUUUCAGCUCUUUGAGACCCUUGAGUAGAUGUUGAGUCGCCACGUGGUCGUAGUCCACCUCCUUUCAAGUCUUGUAGAGGAGGUCUCGUGCCUCAUUUCGAAAUGUGGGAGAACAUGCCACCUAUUGUUUUGUUCUUAAUUUCAAGGGGCCUCCCCCCAAACUUAGCAAGAGUCCUUCCCUAACACUUUGUUACACAGGCAAGUAUGAGAUGUGUGUAAACCAUGGGCACUAACCAGAAUAAAACUAAUUCACUUAUGGGAAUUUAAAUGCUUAAACAUAGCUCACAAUAAGCAAACAAUAUUGAACAUCAUUUUAAAAAUGUAAAACCACAUAGAAAUCUAUCAAUUAAUUCAUUCAACAAAAAUUGCUUACCAUUUCCUAAGUGCUGACAUUAUCCCAGGUGCUUGAUGUGCAAACAUAUGAUCCUUUUCCUCAUGGAACUAACCAUCUAAUGAGAAAGUCAUAUGCUAGAAUAUGUCCAAAAGUAAUCAGAACACAAUUUAGCAUCACAAUAGAAGGCUCUGCAAAGACCUAAGGGAGCACAGAAGACCGAGUAUCUGAAUUUAAGAAAGGCUUCACAAGGGACAUUUGAGCUGGGUCUUGAGUGAAGACAGGGCUUCCCCAGGGAGAAAGGAGGAAAGUGCAUUUCAGAUGCACAAUGGUUGUGUGAAGGAAGAGACGGAGAGUUUGGAUGGUGUGGCGUGGGAACAAUGAAGAAGGGGUGCAGCUGGUACAUAGGCUGGUGUGAUUGUGGGAUAUGAAUUUGGGGAUUUGGAAAGACUGUUUUAUGCCAAAGAGUUUCAACUUCUUCCUACUUGUACUGGGACAGUAUAAUUAUUGUUUUGCUUUUCAAAUGCUUGUUUAAAAAUCUUACACACAUGUUAUGUAUCAAUAUAUAUAAAAGUGAUCAUAUACAUAUUGCUUUUUCCUUUUCCUUUUUUAAUUGGGUCCUCCUUCCCACUCUUCUCUCUCUUCUCUGUCUUCUCCCCAUUCCCUAGCCACAUUUUUUCCUCUCCAAUUCUUAACACUUAUUUUGUAUCCUUUAUUUAUUUUCUCCUUGGUUACAUAAUCAUAUUCAAG